AUGCAACUCAAAGUAGUGAUGAUUUAUUGUGUGUUUGAUGGUUGCAGGAGGACUGCUGCUGAGGCUCUGUGGGAACUAUGGAAGAGUCUUUCCAGUCUUACUGUUGACUAUAAAUAUCUGCAGCGUCAGUGGAGGACAUCAUCUCCUCUGGUAGGAUAUUUUUCUAUUUGGCAGAAAACAUUUGCACAGAAGUAAAGUUUAUACUUUAUCUGGACUGAGACAUCUUUGGAAAUGUAUUUUGUUUGUUGUUGGGUCAGUGGUUCAUUGUUUGCAGGAGUUUAAGUCCUGAUUGCAGUAGAGAUAUUUUCAGUAGCAGAACUGUUACCUUCUUUAUGGAAGUAGUGAACACAAAGCUAAAUGUGAAAUGUUUCAGAGAAUUUGAACUGAAGCUGAACGCUCUGUGAGCUCAAACUGUUUCAGGAUGUUAGUAAGCUGUCAGAGAGGCUCUGUGGUCCAGUGGUGUUGUCAGCUGUCUGUGAACGUGCAGUCGCUGGUUCGAUCCUCCCUUGUGUUUUUCAUUUAAAGACAGACGUCCUCAGCAGUGGACUGAAAGUCCGUCAGAGCAGCUGCACAAUAUUUUAAUAAUCCUACUUAUUCAUUACUGCUAAUCCUUCUGACUGAUUGGCUGCUGAUACAUGAUCAAUUAUUCUAAUAUUUAACUCUGGUA
rnacentral:lncRNA from 15 species